UGGGUUCAAGGGCCCAAUCAUAUCCCAAAGCAGCUGCAAAAUGUAGCACUCCCUGCCCACCUUCAUCUAACACACUAGGGCCUUUUCCACCUUCAGCUGCCUUUUGCAAAAGCCAAGCAUGUAACCUGUCUUUAAGUAGUUUUUGAAGAAGCUCCUCCUUCACUUUCUCCAAGGAAACUCCCGCUUCUGAACUACGCUUUAACAUUUGAUCCCAUUCUUCAUUAUCUUCCUCCAGAAGUGAACUAAUUUUAUUGCUUAAUUGAGUAUUUUCGACUAUAUUGCUUGUGUUGCAUUUUGGAAGGGAGAAAGAGUUAAGAGACAAUAAUUUUCCAAACCGCAUUAUGAAAGAUCUGCUGCUAAAACAAUCAGUAAUAUUCACAUCUUGGAUGUGGCUGACUCGGUA
rnacentral:misc_RNA from 1 species